AAAGGUAUUUAUUUCUCAGCCUAGAUUCCAUAUUGCACGCAGGAAUUAACACUUUCAUCGUCAUAUACUUACAACAACUUCAAAUAAAUAAAGAUACAGUAAAUCUAAACAGAAAACCCAAUACAUGGCUGGAAAAGGCUCUUUUUUCUCCCCUGGGUGGUUAUUUUUAAAUGCACGUUUUUUGGGGCCGGGGCGUGGGGAAAAGGCAGCAUCGGCCGCUGGAUGUGCCCAACCCCGGGGAAAUAAUUCCCCUCCCCACCCACAGCACUCACACACACACAACCCCCCCGAAAAUAAAUUAUCCCUGGGCAGAAGCAUCCCUGGAUGCGGGGGUCCAGCAGAGAAACACCCAUGAAGUGACCGACAUUUUGAAACCCAUUCCCUGGCUGGGAAUUUUUUUUUUUUUUUUUUAAUCCGGCAAACGCAAAGAGAGAGAGCAAAGGUCCCUGAAACCCCCCCAGCCCCAAAAUAAACCCUUACAGACCGUGAUUACGAAGCACCACACCGUAUCCAAGCUGAGAUUUUUUUUUUCCUGAGUCUAAAGCAGGCUGCAUUUUUUAAAGCAGCGCCCUUUCAUAAAAGUUUUCUUUAUUUUCUUUUUUUUUUUACAAGAUAUUUGCAGUUUUCUCCUACCUAGACAAACGUUUUUAUGGAGGGAAAAAAAAAAAAUAAAUCAGGUUUUGCUUCUUUUGCACCCGUUUGGAAAUAAAGCAAUGGCACUAAAGUCAUUAUAAAGGUGCCUUUCUGUCCUUUAUCCCGUCCUGGUGAUGCGAGUUGAUUUUUUUGCUCAAAAACCAGAACUAGUUUGUGUCGCUCCCUCCUCCCGGCUCGUUGUGUCCCGCAGAGGUACCGCUUCUUCCAAACACCUACCGCUUGAGCUUGCUCAUUUAUUAUUUUUUUUAAGUCCAAAACAGGCUAUUUCAGAUAAUAGUUUGGGGUUCCUUUCUAUUCUUUUUUUUUCUUUAUUCUUUUUUUUAUUUACUUUUGAUGCAUCGCCACCCUCUCCCCAGUCUCCUACUGGGGGAUUGUUAAGAAGAUUUACUUUUGAUGCAUCGCCACCCUCUCUCCAGUCUCCUACUGGGGGAUUGUUAAGAAGAUUAUUUCCUUUUUUUUUUUUUUUUAUCGCUUAAUUUCCUCGAAACGUGUUUAAAAACAAAUGGGGAGGGAUUAUUAUUUAUUACUAUUUAUUAUUAUUAUUGUUUGCUGUGAAGGGGAUGGUUCUGCUGCUCGAGGAGCCGUUCCAGGUGUGUUCGCGUGGCAAGUUUUGAGGUAUUUUUGUGUUGAAUUCACAGCCCUGCUGCACCCCCCGUGCGUUAUAUACAAAUACCUCCCCCCGCACACGCGGGGACGUGCGUGUGCGAGCGGAUAAAUCCGUGCGGGCACAUCAAGGUCUGCGUGUGGGCACGCACAAGCCUGGAUUUCCCCCCACCCGCACGUAAGAAAUGCAUAUAUAGAGAUAUAUACACAGAGAUAAAUAGCCGGGGACCCGCACCCGCGGGGGUGCCCGCUCACCCCACGCACGCACUUUCCGAGGUGAUUAUAUCCCUUAAAAAAAUAUUCCUGAGUUAUUUGGCUGUUCCUGCCCGCGGCAGACGGAGCUGCGGAGUCUGGGGGUUACUGUAUUUUUUUUUUAAUAUAUAUAUAUUUAUAUCUCUUUUUUUUUCUUUUUUUUUUU
rnacentral:lncRNA from 1 species